rnacentral:ncRNA from 1 species
CUUUGGUACGAUCAGUGCAGGAUAGGUGGGAGCCGUUGACGCUUGAGCGCUAGCUGAGGUGGAGGCGCCGUUGGGAUACCACACUGAUCGUGUCGGAG